AGUGAAAUUGCUGGAUCACAUGGUAAAUUUAUGUUUAACAUUUUAAGAAACUGCCAAACUGUUUUCCAAAGUGGCUGCACUAUUUUAUAUUCCCACCAGCAAU
rnacentral:pre_miRNA from 1 species